AAUUGGCCUGCAUCGAAGCUAUGUUAAUUCUACCUCCAAUUAAUGUAGUCAAAAUGUGGCCUAAAUUAAAACUAUUCUCUCAUAAGGUCACUGAUUAAAUUAAUUAUAUAUUUCUUCAGUAUCACCCAGAGAGAAGACAUUA